UCACAUCAUGUUGAAACACAGGUUCUCAUACAAACCCCGAAGUUAAGCAACAUUGAGUCUGGUCAGUACCUACAUGGGUGAUGGCUUGAGAAUACCAGGUGCU